UUCAUGUCUGAUGUAUUAUACUUAGAAAUCAACUAAAAUAUAAAAUACUUCCGUAUCAUUGGACUAGAGCAAUGUGUACCUAUUAAGAUCUCGUGCAACAACAAAAGAGUGAAUUAUAAAUGAACUGGUAGAACCAGGUUCGUGAUGUGGUCAAUAUAUAUCAAGCAGCUCUAAUCGAUUAACUGAUAAAGCUCUUCGUAUGACUAAAUUUCCCAAAUAUAUUCUAUCUGGAAAACAUGUAUUUUCCAACGCCAGAUUGGCUCUGUGCUAAUCGUCACAUAUUAUGGACAUACAGUUGACAUCUGUCCCCUUUGUUGUUUCAUAUAUACGUAUAUUUACCGAACGUAUCCAUAUCUAAUAUCUAAUCAUGUUCUGAUAUCAACGAAAAUUGCACGACCAAGAUACGGCGUUCUUAGAAAUCUCAUUAUCUUCUGAUAAACACAUGUAACUGUAUACAUCGUUAUUUUUACAAUCACUUGUUCUACAUGCGAUGUAGGUGUCCCCAUUAAAAAAACAAAAAUGCAAUUUAAAUAAAAAGUACUUACGUUUAUUUCCACAGUUGACACGAAUACUACUUUGCGAUGAUGGCUUGCAAUGUUUAUCUAUAUAAGGUUUCGAACGUUCUUAAAUGACUAUUCAUCAGCCUGUAGUAGUAACUGAACGCCAAAUGACCAACUGAAUGUGUCAUCAUCACCAUUAUGUCAGUACAUACCCCGGUAGUGCCCCCGAAACAACUGUGUACUUUAUCACGGUAGUACAUGAUGUAGUUAAUGUUCAUGGUGCUUGAAAUACAUGUAUAUAAAGUGACAUCGGUAUAUGUACCAAUGAGGCUGCACGUUCUUUCUAUUAUGUUUCUCAAUGCAUCAUAAAAUAAUGUAAAAUGAUGGAGUCUGGUAAAGAAAAUAGACUUGGAUGUUACCUUCAAGUUUUCAAUUACAGUCUUUUGAAAUAUGUAUGUGUUAGAUCCAUGUAGCUUUUUAUAUAAAUGUAAGCCAUGGGUAGUAUAACAAGCCUUAACUGAUAAUGUGUCUGGAAACAAUAAUCAGGGCACUGAGACAACAUUAAUAAUGUUCGUCAUAGGAUAAGACCCUCCGUAGGCCGAUUGUCUUUCUACAGAUACGACCGUCUCUUCUGAAAAUUUCCACAUUUUGGAUUAGACCCUUUUAAGGACCUGACUAUAUUUAGGAUAAGACCUUUCGGCGAGGCUGGCUGUUUUCGAGCCGAUUUGCAUGGACAUCUUAAUGUUUGACAAUUCUCAUAAAUCCAGAGUCUCUAUCAGUCUGUAUCCAAAAACCUUUCCACCACAAGUAUCAGUGUUUAUGUAGAAUGGAUCAACAUGCGUAUAUAAAUUUCAAUUAAUCUUCAAUUAAUCUCGGAAAUCCAUGCAUUUCGCAAAUGCGACCGGACUACCUCAGAUACUAAAUACUGUCGAUGGUUUUGCACUUUCCCUAAAUACCGGUGUUUGACACAACUCAUUAACAAACCAGUUAUCUUGUUUUGAUGAUUCUAUUUGUGUGUUUGUGUGCUUUCUAUCUCACACGCUAGCUGAAAGUGAUAUUGAGUAUGUGUUCCAUUUACGUGCAAUGUUUUCCCAUACUCUCCUCGCAACAAGUCACAUAUUAUACACCAAGUCGUUUAUUCCGGAUAAAAUUGCUGAUGACCAUUGUUGGUGACCGCAUCUUUUAACUUUGGCAGAAGUAUGCCUUGGUCACGGUGUUCCUUUAAUAGUAGCACAUCUGUUAAACAGUAAACAAAGUCAGGCUCAAAUUUAUGUUCUAUGUGUAUUUGUUUUGGCUCGAAUUACCAUGCAUUGGCAGUUAUGCCAUUUGUUGACACGACUGCAGCGAUGCUCUUGAAACGCUCUGGUGGCUUUGAUGUGACUUUAAUUUAUUGAUUCAGUAUUUUCAAAAAUGCUUUUUGCUUUAUAUUUGUUUGAGUUAAUGCCAUUUUAUCAUUAUAGCAAAAAUAGACAAUGUGUUCUUUUUUCCGGAUGCAAUUUUUAGCAUUAAGUUCAAUUUUUCGACUUUUGCGCAGCUCAAUUUCAAUGUGUAAUGUAUUUCGAUGCUUUCAACGAGAUAAAUUAAGUUAUGCUGCUAAAUUGUUGGGAUUUGUUUGUUUGAUAAAGGCUUCUUGAUAUUGCAUUUUUUUUCUACAAAUGCAAAUUGGUAACUUGCAACGUUAAGCUUUCUUUCCCUUGUUAAAAUUUACCAAUCGUGAUGUGUUGACGGUCUGAUGUUUUUAUCUGUUUACCGGUAUAUCUGUAUGCAUAUAACGUUUUCUGAAAGUAUUUGUUGAACUCACGAACUAUGGAAAUUGUAUUUAAUCUUCUAUCAUUAUUAAAUUACUUUCAGUGCAGUGUUUCAAGCUCAAUGAUUUUGCCGCGCAAAUGUUUUCAUGCAUGGUCUUUCAGUAUCUGAUUAUAAACAUAAUGUUCAUACUGAAUAGAAUAUUCGAGAAUACAGUGAACCACGAUUAACAUGUUUGUGAUUGUUGCUAUACAAAGAUCCGACUAACACAAGUUUGGUGUUUUGAACUUGUAUAUGAGUUGAUUGUAAUGAUAUUAUUGAUUUGGUUUCUUUUUACAUAUUAGCUUCAUGGCGAAAAUCAUGGUCAAAUAGGAACGAGUUGAUUUUAUUUAUCUCGAGACUAAGAACUCUAAUCAGUUGACACAUUUUGUGUUUUUUUUCCAAACAGUCAUUGGAUAUAUCAUCACGUCCAGUGUUUAAUAAUUAUGGUCCUGUGUUGUGAGACACCUGACAUUCACUGUGUGUUUCAGUAGAACUUUAUUAGAUCUAGAACGUCUGUUCACAAAGUUUUUAAUGACCUUAGAUAAACUUGAAGAACGAAAUACAAUCAAUCUACUCUUGUUUGUUUUUGACAUUGAAAUGUUCUCAACAUAAUCCUUCACAUACACCGUCUUAACGUCUUAACGAAUACCUGCCAUGAACGUUGAUAGCUAUACAUAUAUGUAUAGAUAAGAAGGAUUAGCAGUAUAAAUGCAUGGUUUGAAACAAUUACGGCUGCAACCAAAUACAUGAUGUAUUAAUAGACAGACUAUGUAUGCUGACGUAAUAGUUAAGAAAGGCAAAUCAGAGGGUAGGGGUAAACAGCUUAGAAACAAUAAUGCCAGGGUAUGAUAAAUCACUGAAGGUGACGAUUGAAUAUAGGUUAAUCAUUUACAAAAUACAAGAUGCUUUAUACUUAACGAGUCUGUGGUAAGUGCCAAUGAACAUGCUAGUAUUUUGGACACAUAUAUCAGAACAAGUCUAUAAGCAAAUCUUUGUUUUUUUAAAGAAUAUUUGCGUGUAACAAAUAUGUAAUUACGUACACACGGUUUGAUCUGAGAACUUAAAAAUCACCUUGGUUAUGACAACUGACAUGCAGUUUUAAGCGACAUGGAAGCAUAAUUGUCAAAACAGGGAACACUAUCACUUUGUCACCGCGACAAAACGGUUGUGACUGCAUGAAAAACACGGACGAAAAGAACUAGUCAGCCUUUCAGAUGUGACGUAAGUAAAACAAUUAUAAAAAAACACUAAAAAAAUGCAGGAAAAAUUAAAAUUUAAGAACACACAUAUUGCUGUGGUCUCUUUUAUCCAAUACAUGCAGAAUAAAUGAUUGCAAACCUCGAUGUACCCGGGAUGCGUUCCGCGGUUGCGGGCCUGUCGACGCUGAUUUUGGUUUUCUUAUCUACGCGACAGUAGGUUUUGUUUGUUAAAAGCAAAUAUAAUCUUGACAAACAAACGCUUUUUAUAUCGCCUAAAACCCUCCUUCUGCGGUAAACAUUCGGUUUGAAUAGACACGCUGGAGGUUGAUUAGGGACAUCAUAUCGUAAUCUGACUUUCGCACAGCUGCGUGUUAACGUGCGACAAAUUAUAUUUUGAUUUAGAAAUUAAGUUGAAUAUUCAUUAUAUUGACUGUAGUGAUUCAUAUCGUUGAAACUUUCGAGAUUACUAGUAAGGGACGCAGCUAGACCUAUCUGUGCAUUGGUUAGAUCCCAGGUCAUCAUGUGACACGUACACGGUGUACUAUUGUGGAGGCUGAUUAUUCAGUUUACUGCUGAAACAUUUACUCGGAGUGUCGUCUGGGUACGAAACUGCGUUGGAACAAAAUACUAAUGAUUUACUCAGAAUUAUUAAACAAAUAAAUAGGUCUUUUUUAUUUUGGUUGAACCAUAUCCGACUUUAUUUUUUUUUAUUAAGCUGGUACUGUGCAAGAUAUUUUGAGUCGUGUGUGGAUUGUAUUUUAUUGGAUGACUUUACUUGAAACAAAAUUAGCAGCUUAAAAUGUCUUGGUUAAAAUUCUGGGGAAAGAAAUCCUCAAAGAAAGCGAGGGCUGAUCUCGCGAGAUCUGAGUCAUUUAAGGAGGAAAGCGGCGUGCAGACCGAAACCGAAAAGGAAAAGAACGCGAGGCUACGACACACUAUGUCGAUUUCCAGGUCAGGACGGUUCAAACAGAAAAACAAACAACGGUCCGGAAUCUUAGACAAACCGGAAUUCUUUGAAAACGGUGUUGGUGGUGAAGGCCAAAAGGAGAAUAAUGGGAAUGCAAAUGGACAAUCGGGAACUGUGGGCGAUCUCGAUAGUGCCGUCGUCAGAUCCACGAAUACAAAUAAUAAUAGUCAGUACAAUGGAAGUGCAAACUUUGCUAGUGCUCACGAGAACAAAAGGACUCCGCCAAGCACCUGCCGAGAGGUGUCAACGCGUCAACCAAUCACCGCGCGUCAUUUUGAAGGCCAACAUACAGUACUGUGAUUUGAAGUGUGCUUGAUUAGUUGAUAUAAUAUGAUAAGUUGCUUUGUACAACAUUUAAAUUUGCGCGGUUAACACGUAUUUAUAUUUUUAUGGCACGAAUGCUUGUGCGAGAAAAUUGUUUCAAAAGCAAGUCGCGUGGUCACUUGAAUGAACAAAACGAAGGAAAAACAAGGA